rnacentral:tRNA from 8 species
AGAGAGGUGGCCGAGUGGUCGAAGGCGCACGCCUGGAAAGUGUGUAUACGCCAAAAGCGUAUCGAGGGUUCGAAUCCCUUCCUCUCUGC